ACGGUACUGUAAGAAUAAGGAUCGGCUAACUCCGUGCCAGCAGCCGCGGUAAUACGGAGGAUCCAAGCGUUAUCCGGAAUCAUUGGGUUUAAAGGGUCCGUAGGCGGUUUGGUAAGUCAGUGGUGAAAGCCCAUCGCUCAACGGUGGAACGGCCAUUGAUACUGCCAGACUUGAAUUACUGGGAAGUAACUAGAAUAUGUAGUGUAGCGGUGAAAUGCUUAGAGAUUACAUGGAAUACCAAUUGCGAAGGCAGGUUACUACCAGUGGAUUGACGCUGAUGGACGAAAGCGUGGGUAGCGAACAGGAUUAGAUACCCUGGUAGUCCACGCCGUAAACGAUGGAUACUAGCUGUUGGGAGUAAUCUCAGUGGCUAAGCGAAAGUGAUAAGUAUCCCACCUGGGGAGUACGAACGCAAGUUUGAAACUCAAAGGAAUUGACGGGGGCCCGCACAAGCGGUGGAGCAUGUGGUUUAAUUCGAUGAUACGCGAGGAACCUUACCAAGGCUUAAAUGUAGAUUGACCGGUUUGGAAACAGACCCUUCGCAAG
rnacentral:rRNA from 1 species